rnacentral:rRNA from 1 species
UCAAGCAAAAAAGAGCGCAGGGUGGAUGCCUUGGCACUAAGAGCCGAUGAAAGACGUGAUAAGCUGCGAAAAGCUGCGGGGAGGAGCAAAUAUCCACUGAUCCGCAGAUGUCUGAAUGGGGAAACCCGCAUGAGCAACCCUCAUGCAUCCAUACGCCAAUCCAUAACGUAUGGAGGGGAACCGCCUGAACUGAAACAUCUAAGUAGGGCGAGGAAGAGAAAGAAAAUUUAUCGAUUUCCAAAGUAGCGGCGAGCGAAAUGGAAAGAGGCCAAACCGGAGUGCGUGCACUCCGGGGUUCGGACCGCAUUUAAGAUUCAGUGAUUCUAGCAGAAAGGUUUGGGAAAGCCUGCCGGAGAGGGUGAAAGCCCCGUAAGCGAAAGGAGAACUGACUGAGCGGGAUCCAGAGUACAUCGAGACACGAGAAACCUUGAUGGAAUGAGCGGGGACCACCCCGUAAGCCUAAAUACUACUUAGUGACCGAUAGCGCAUAGUACUGUGAAGGAAAGGUGAAAAGGACCCCGGGAGGGGAGUGAAAGAGAACCUGAAACCCUGUGUUUACAAGCUGUGGAAGUUCUUUAAAUGAACAACCGCGUACUUUUUGUAGAACGGUCCGGCGAGUUGCGGAUACUGGCAAGGUUAAGCACUUAAGGUGCGGAGCCGAAGGGAUACCAAGUCUUAACAGGGCGUUAAGUCAGUAUACGCAGACCCGAAACCGGGUGAUCUAUCCAUGUCCAGGUUGAAGUUGUCGUAAAAGACAAUGGAGGACCGAAGCCACAUCCGUUGAAAAGGGUGGGCAUGAGGUGUGGAUAGGGGAGAAAUUCCAAUCGAACCCGGAGAUAGCUGGUUCUCCUCGAAAUAGCUUUAGGGCUAGCCUCGAUUUAGUCUUAUGGAGGUAGAGCACUGAAUUUCCGCGGGGGCGUCAAAGCUUACCAAAGAAUAUCAAACUCCGAAUGCCAUGUAGAUGAUGAUCGGGAGUCAGACUGCACGAGAUAAGUUGGGCAGUCAAAAGGGAAAGAGCCCAGACCACCGGCUAAGGUCCCAAAGUGCGUGUUAAGUGGAAAAGGAUGUGGGAAUUCGAAGACAACUAGGAUGUUGGCUCAGAAGCAGCCAUACAUUCAAAGAGUGCGUAACAGCUCACUAGUCGAGAGUUCCUGCGCCGAAAAUGUCCGGGGCUGAAACACGACACCGAAGCCGUGGACUCGCAAUGCGAGUGGUAGAGGAGCAUUCUUAAAACCGACGAAGCUGUACCGAAAGGAGCAGUGGAGGGAUAAGAAGAGAGAAUGCCGGAAUGAGUAGCGAGAGAAAGGUGGGAAUCCUUUCGGCCGAAUAUCUAAGGUUUCCAGAGUAAAGCUGAUCUGCUCUGGGUAAGUCGGGGCCUAAGCACAGGUCGCAAGACGUAAGCGAUGGAUAACAGGUUUAGAUUCCUGUACCACGCAUUAUCAGAACUGUAGGGACGCAUGUGGAAAGCACGAGCCGGGAAUGGAAAAACCGGUACAAGCGGGGUAGGUGUACAAUAGGCAAAUCCGUUGUAUAAUCCGAAGACGUGAUGUGGAGCGAAAUAAAGUAGCGAAGCGUGUGAGCCAUGUGCCGAGAAAAGCUGCUAUUGUGUAAUGCGUGCCCGUACCGUAAACCGACACAGGUGGAUGAGGAGAGAAUCCUAAGGCCGACGGAAGAAGCAUUGUUAAGGAAUUCGGCAAAAUGACCCCGUAACUUCGGGAGAAGGGGUGCCUGCGAGAGCAGGCCGCAGAGAAUAGGCUCAAGCAACUGUUUAGCAAAAACACAGGUCUAUGCGAAACCGAAAGGUGAAGUAUAUGGGCUGACGCCUGCCCGGUGCUGGAAGGUUAAGAGGAGAGGUUAGCGUAAGCGAAGCUUUGAAUUUAAGCCCCAGUAAACGGCGGCCGUAACUAUAACGGUCCUAAGGUAGCGAAAUUCCUUGUC